rnacentral:lncRNA from 1 species
CUACGAUAUUAAUUUAGGCUAUCCGUUUAAUAACCGUAUAACAAUUACCUUACUGUGUUUGUUAAUAUUUACUUUUGUUCGUCUUUUAUAUUUCACUGUUGAGAGGUAGCUGGCUAGAAGGAUUUCACUGCACUGUUGAGAGGCAGCUGGCUAGAAGGAUUUCACUGCACUGUUGAGAGGUAUCUGGCUAGAAGGAUUUCACUGCACUGUUGAGAGGUAGCUGGCUAGAAGGAUUUCACUGCACUGUUGCGAGGUAGCUGGCUAGAAGCAUUUCACUGCACCGUUGAGAGGUAGCUGGCUAGAAGGAUUUCACUGCACUGUUGAGAGGCAGCUCGCUAGAAGCAUUUCACUGCACUGUUGAGAGGUAGCUGGCUAGAAGGAUUUCACUGCACUGUUGAGAGGUAGCUGGCUAGAAGGAUUUCACUGCACUGUUGAGAGGUAGCUGGCUAGAAGGAUUUCACUGCACUGUUGAGAGGUAGCUUGCUAGAAGGAUUUCACUGCACUGUUGAGAGGUAGCUGGCUAGAAGGAUUUCACUGCACUGUUGAGAGGUAGCUUGCUAGAAGGAUUUCACUGCACUGUUGAGAGGUAGCUGGCUAGAAGGAUUUCACUGCACCGUUGAGAGGUAGCUGGCUAGAAGGAUUUCACUGCACCGUUGAGAGGUAGCUGGCUAGAAGGAUUUCACCUUUUUGCUC